rnacentral:rRNA from 1 species
UACGAAGGGGGCUAGCGUUGUUCGGAAUUACUGGGCGUAAAGCGCGCGCAGGCGGCUAUCCAAGUCAGUGGUGAAAGCCCGGAGCUCAACUCCGGAACUGCCAUUGAAACUGUUUAGCUUGAGGAUGAGAGAGGUGAGUGGAAUUCCCAGUGUAGAGGUGAAAUUCGUAGAUAUUGGGAAGAACACCGGUGGCGAAGGCGGCUCACUGGCUCAUUACUGACGUUCAGGCGCGAUAGCGUGGGGAUCAAACAGG